rnacentral:rRNA from 1 species
AGCGAACGCUGGCGGCAGGCUUAACACAUGCAAGUCGAGCGGGCAUCCUCGUGGUGUCAGCGGCAGACGGGUGAGUAACGCGUGGGAACGUGCCCUUCGGUUCGGAAUAACUCAGGGAAACUUGAGCUAAUACCGGAUACGCCCUUUUGGGGAAAGGUUUAUCUGCCGAAGGAUCGGCCCGCGUCUGAUUAGCUGGUUGGUGAGGUUACGGCUCACCAAGGCGACGAUCAGUAGCUGGUCUGAGAGGAUGAUCAGCCACACUGGGACUGAGACACGGCCCAGACUCCUACGGGAGGCAGCAGUGGGGAAUAUUGGACAAUGGGGGCAACCCUGAUCCAGCCAUGCCGCGUGAGUGAUGACGGCCUUAGGGUUGUACAGCUCUUUUCUCCGGGACGAUAAUGACGGUACCGGAGGAAUAAGCCCCGGCUAACUUCGUGCCAGCAGCCGCCGUAA